GCACCUGGAAACAUUCAGGGCACACCCUGACUGUUGUGUAGGAGCGAUGCACACACUGCUCCGUCCAAGGACAUGGACCAUGGGAAGUCAACUAAAGGACAUGAACCGUGGGAAGCUUCCUUGGCCUGGGCUCAAGGCCUGAGAACAAGGAUUGUAGUAGAUAGAGGCUGGUAAAUAAGAAUAUUAAUCAAAGUCAUUUUAUUUCCUUUGUUGAUGCCUUCUGUGGUCGGAGUAUGUAUUGCGCAGGGGGAAGAGAAAUAAAAGGAGAGCUGGAAAAGCUGACGGGGGCAAUCCCGUCAGCAGACCAGCCUGCUUGGUUGCCUAAAGUCGUGUUCUGUCUUGUACUGAACCGCCACAACUGGCGCCCAAACGUGGGGCCCUCAGCACUCACCUCGCCCGGCAAGGGUUUCAGACGCGUCACUCAUCCGCUUCGCGGAUCCCGGGCUGGUGGACACUGGAGCUGACGUUACGGUGAUUCGUGAUCCGGAGUGGCCGGUCGAUGCAGACCUCCUUCGCCUGUUUUUGUCUUUACAGUAUCUCAUCACCACUCGUAAUUUCCCUUAUUUUGUUGCUCAUAUUCGCAGUCAUACCCCUCGGCCUGGGCUACUCACUGAGGGCAAUGCGCA